rnacentral:lncRNA from 1 species
GUCCAGACGUCACUUUCCUGUACUUCUAGGACCGACACCGCCUUUCUAUGAUGUCAUAGACUUCCGGCGGAAGACCUGAGCGCUUGACGGUGUCGCGGGCGGUGUGUCUCCAGGCUGCUGGGCGUUUUCUUUUUCUAACAACGCGACGGUUCAGAGAAGAAGUUUAACGCUGUCACCACAUUUUACUCUCUUAGCAUGCAUUUUGUGACCCUGCAAUAAUCAUCUGCGUUUUGGAUUAGGGGAUGUGAGACUGAAGGAAAGCGCCCUUAGAAAAAGGAUCUCUGGGCCGGGGAUUUAGCCCAGUGGGUCCGCCGCCUGCCUCACAAGUUCAAGGACCCGAGGUCGAUCCCCGGUACAAAAAGAAAGAAAGAAAGAGGGUCUUCGCUGUGGUUGUGUGGAUUCCUGGCUGUGGAGAGACACAGGAUCUAUGUUAGGUCUGCACGUAGAAUGUUACCGUUCAUACUUAGGUUUCCUGGAACUAGGGAUUGAACUCAGGACCUUACGCUUGCCAGGAAGGUGCAGCCUCACUGACUACAUCGCCAGGCCAACUUUAUCCUUUUAUGGCAGUGUGAUACUCCAUUGUAUACAAAACCACAUUUUAGGGGCUGGAGAUUUAGCUCAGUGGUGCCGUGCCUGCCUCGCAAUUGGAAGGUCCUGAGUUCGAUCUCCAGUACCACAAAAUAAAUAAAUAAAAC